rnacentral:rRNA from 1 species
AACGCGAAGAACCUUACCUGGGCUCGAACGGCUUAAGAUCAUCUUUGGAAACAGAGACUUCUCGCAAGAGACUUGAGUCGAGGUGCUGCAUGGCUGUCGUCAGCUCGUGUCGUGAGAUGUUGGGUUAAGUCCCGCAACGAGCGCAACCCUUGUCCUGUGUUGCCACUCCGUAAGGAAGCACUCUCAGGAGACCGCCAGCGAUAAGUUGGAGGAAGGUGGGGAUGAUGUCAAGUCAUCAUGGCCUUUAUGUCCAGGGCUACACACGUGCUACAAUGGGCGGUACAAAGCGCUGCAAACCCGCGAGGGGGAGCCAAUCGCAAAAAACCGUUCUCAGUUCGGAUCGCAGGCUGCAACUCGCCUGCGUGAAGCUGGAAUCGCUAGUAAUGCCGUAUCAGAAUGAUGGCGUGAAUACGUUCCCGGGCCUUGUA